rnacentral:rRNA from 1 species
AGAGUUUGAUCCUGGCUCAGGAUGAACGCUGGCGGCGUGCUUAACACAUGCAAGUCGAACGCACCUUCGGGUGAGUGGCGGACGGGUGAGUAACGCGUGGGAAUCUGCCCUUAGGAGGGGGAUAACGGCUGGAAACGGCCGCUAAUACCCCAUAUGCCGAGAGGUGAAACGAAUUUCGCCUGAGGAUGAGCCCGCGUCUGAUUAGCUAGUUGGUGGGGUAAGAGCCCACCAAGGCGACGAUCAGUAGCUGGUCUGAGAGGAUGAUCAGCCACACUGGGACUGAGACACGGCCCAGACUCCUACGGGAGGCAGCAGUGGGGAAUUUUCCGCAAUGGGCGAAAGCCUGACGGAGCAACGCCGCGUGAGGGAUGAAGGCCUCUGGGCUGUAAACCUCUUUUCUCAAGGAAGAAGACAUGACGGUACUUGAGGAAUAAGCCACGGCUAAUUCCGUGCCAGCAGCCGCGGUAAUACGGGAGUGGCAAGCGUUAUCCGGAAUUAUUGGGCGUAAAGCGUCCGCAGGCGGCUCUGUAAGUCUGUUGUUAAAGCGUGGAGCUCAACUCCAUUUCAGCAAUGGAAACUACAGGGCUUGAGUGUGGUAGGGGCAGAGGGAAUUCCCGGUGUAGCGGUGAAAUGCGUAGAUAUCGGGAAGAACACCAGUGGCGAAGGCGCUCUGCUGGGCCAUAACUGACGCUCAUGGACGAAAGCCAGGGGAGCGAAAGGGAUUAGAUACCCCUGUAGUCCUGGCCGUAAACGAUGAACACUAGGUGUCGGGGGAAUCGACCCCCUCGGUGUCGUAGCCAACGCGUUAAGUGUUCCGCCUGGGGAGUACGCACGCAAGUGUGAAACUCAAAGGAAUUGACGGGGGCCCGCACAAGCGGUGGAGUAUGUGGUUUAAUUCGAUGCAACGCGAAGAACCUUACCAGGGUUUGACAUCCUGCGAAUCCCUUGGAAACUUGGGAGUGCCUUCGGGAGCGCAGAGACAGGUGGUGCAUGGCUGUCGUCAGCUCGUGUCGUGAGAUGUUGGGUUAAGUCCCGCAACGAGCGCAACCCACGUCUUUAGUUGCCAGCAUUCAGUUGGGCACUCUAGAGAGACCGCCGGUGAUAAACCGGAGGAAGGUGUGGAUGACGUCAAGUCAUCAUGCCCCUUACACCCUGGGCUACACACGUACUACAAUGCUACGGACAGAGGGCAGCAAGCUCGCGAGAGUUAGCAAAUCCCAUAAACCGUGGCUCAGUUCAGAUCGUAGGCUGCAACUCGCCUACGUGAAGGAGGAAUCGCUAGUAAUCGCAGGUCAGCAUACUGCGGUGAAUACGUUCCCGGGCCUUGUACACACCGCCCGUCACACCAUGGAAGUUGGCCAUGCCCGAAGUCGUUACUCCAACCAUUGUGGAGGAGGACGCCGAAGGUGGGGCUGAUGACUGGGGUGAAGUCGUAACAAGGUA